ACGCAGCGCGGUUGCUGGGCACCUCGACUAUCACCUGACCGUAGUAAUAUCUCCCGCUACGCGCGUUGUGACCAAUGCUGCAUACAGGAGAUGAGGGAGGACGGCCAGACACCUGGAAGCCGGAAAAUGGACUCAGUGGCCUUUGAGGAUGUGGCAGUGAACUUCACCCAGGAGGAGUGGGCUUUGCUGGAUCCUUGGCAGAAAAAACUCUACAGAGAUGUGAUGCUGGAAACCUAUAGGAACCUGGCUUCAGUAGGUGAUGACGACAACAUUCCUUCACUUAGAGAACAAGUUGCCCAUCAACGAUAUUUCAAGACCUGGCAUGUGGAAAGGGAAUACUUCAGUAAAUAAACCAAGCAUGGUGACAGCUAAAAAAAAAAAAAAA
rnacentral:lncRNA from 10 species